rnacentral:rRNA from 1 species
AACGAACGCUGGCGGCAUGCCUAACACAUGCAAGUCGAACGAGAUCUUCGGGUCUAGUGGCGCACGGGUGCGUAACGCGUGGGAAUCUGCCCUUUGGUUCGGAAUAACAGUUGGAAACGACUGCUAAUACCGGAUGAUGACGAAAGUCCAAAGAUUUAUCGCCAGAGGAUGAGCCCGCGUAGGAUUAGCUAGUUGGGGUGGUAAAGGCGCACCAAGGCGACGAGCCUUAGCUGGUCUGAGAGGAUGAUCAGCCACACUGGGACUGAGACACGGCCCAGACUCCUACGGGAGGCAGCGGUGGGGAAUAUUGGACAAUGGGCGAAAGCCUGAUCCAGCAAUGCCGCGUGAGUGAUGAAGGCCUUAGGGUUGUAAGGCUCUUUUACCCGGGAUGAUAAUGACAGUACCGGGAGAACAAGCUCCGGCUAACUCCGUGCCAGCCGCCGCCGUAA